AUGUUCUGCAGGUGGACAGCCCCGUCCGUCUUCAUCGUUCUCUUCCUCAGAGUUCAGAGCAUCGACUCGUCUCUUGCUCCGGACAACUCUCUGGAGACUUUCGAUCUUCCUGAAAUCGACGGUUCUGCUGUGGACUGCUGUAGGAUUUUCCCUCUCCCCACACCCCAAACCACCACGACAGCAACUCCAACAACAACUCCAACUACAACCACAACCACACCCACUACCAGGAAGGUGACCACGACCACAAAGCCAGCCACCCGACCACCACCGAAGAUCGACCACGCCAGUAUCAACAUCCUCCUGCAAUACCUCCUGGCCAACAGCAGACGCCACACAGGUGGUUCUCUACCCAGGGUUAUCUCUCAGCCUCGCAGGGUUCAAAGUUCAUCUGAAAGCAAUGAAGCAGCCAGAAGGCGGCAUAGAAUAGUUGGUCGGAGGAAUACAGGUUCGUCAUCUUCAGACUCAAGUGACGAGUCUUAAUGGCAUUUUUAAAUUCUAGUUGUUAAACAAAGCUAAGAAAAUUUGCUUCCUGAAAGGGUUUUUCUUCGAAAACUUUACGAAUCCCAAGACAACCAUGAAAUUUGUCAGCCAAAAAAAUGUUGUAGCUUCCGAUAUCAUUGUAAUAUUGUAUAUGUUGUUAUUGAAUAUUGUGCACUAAAGUAUUAAGAUGUGUGAAUGUUGAUUUACUGCUGCUGCUGUCACUAAUCAAGAUCAACACUUUAAAAAAGCUUCUUUAUUUAUAUUACAUGUAAGACAAUUGCAGUAACACAGUUUGUUGAACCAUUAUUUAAAAUGUAUUCAUAUGUUAAUGACCUGUUUUAAAAAGAUGUAAUAUAAAUAAUAAAAACAAACCUGGAAUUGUUGAUUAACUGUGGUUUAUACAUUUUUUAGACAUUUUCCAUCUCUGUUUUGACUAAAGAUGUUCAUAGAUCAUCAUUUCAUUCUUGUAUUUACAUCAUAAUUGUGUUUAAUACUUGAAUGCAACACAUGUCUUUGAUUUCAGGACUGACGUCAGCAACACUGACAUGUCAAUAUAACCAGUUUGUUUAUAGCACUGUCUUUUGUUCAUUCUGGAUUCAUCUGCUGAUUAUUAGUUUCCAUUAAUCGAACGUUUGGAUUGUAAAAAAGCAGAGAAUCCAAUUUGUAAAGUUAGAACCAUAAAAUGUUUUUGUUAUGUUAGUGUGAUAACAAUAGUACCAAUAGAAGAAAGGAGUCUGAAAUGGGUUUUUUCUUAGGGUGAGUGUGAAUCAGUACUGUUGUACCCGUGCUGCUGUGGUUCUGAUGGACGAACAGACGGAGCCAAAUGGUUUUCUUUCCUUUGAUCCUUGGAAGUUCCUUUGUCAUGUUUACCUGAGAAAACAAUUAUCACUUUAUUUUAGUUUUCCACCAGUUAGAUUAAUAAGUCAGAUAUCAAUAAAUAUUAAGUGCA
rnacentral:lncRNA from 1 species